rnacentral:rRNA from 1 species
AUUGAACGCUGGCGGAAUGCUUUACACAUGCAAGUCGAACGGCGGCACGGGGGCAACCCUGGUGGCGAGCGGCGAACGGGUGAGUAAUACAUCGGAACGUGCCCAGUCGUGGGGGAUAACGCAGCGAAAGCUGUGCUAAUACCGCAUACGAUCUAUGGAUGAAAGCGGGGGACCGUAAGGCCUCGCGCGAUUGGAGCGGCCGAUGGCAGAUUAGGUAGUGGGUGGGGUAAAGGCUGACCAAGCCGACGAUCUGUGGCUGGUCUGAGGGGACGACCAGCCACACUGGGACUGAGACACGGCCCAGACUCCUACGGGAGGCAGCAGUGGGGAAUUUUGGACAAUGGGCGCAAGCCUGAUCCAGCCAUUCCGCGUGCAGGAUGAAGGCCCUCGGGUUGUAAACUGCUUUUGUACGGAACGAAAAGCCUUCUUCUAAUACAGGAGGGUCAUGACGGUACCGUAAGAAUAAGCACCGGCUAACUACGUGCCAGCCGCCGCCGUAA